rnacentral:rRNA from 2 species
GUCUUUUUGAUUUUAAUUUAAAGUUUAACCUGCCCAUUGAAAAUUUUUAAAAGGCUGCGGUAUUUUGACUGUACAAAGGUAGCAUAAUCAUUAGUUUUUUAAUUGAAAACUUGUAUGAAUGGUUGAAUGAGAAAUUAACUUUUUUAAAAAAAUAAUUGAAUUUUACUUUUUAAUUAAAAGGUUAAAAUAAAUUUAAAAGACGAGAAGACCCUAUAGAGUUUUAUAAUUUUUAUUUAAUAUUUAAAAAGAUUAAUUAAAAUUUUAUAAAAGAAAAUAUUUUGUUGGGGUGAUAAUAAAAUUUAAAUAACUUUUAUUUUUUUUUUACAUUAAUAUAUGAAUUUAUGAUCCAUUAUUGAUGAUUAGAAAUUUAAAUUACCUUAGGGAUAACAGCGUAAUUUUUUUUUAAAGUUCAUAUUAAUAAAAAAUUUUGCGACCUCGAUGUUGGAUUAAGAUUUAAUUUUAGGUGCAGCAGUUUAAAUUUUAAGUCUGUUCGACUUUUAAAUUCUU